GCCGGGGUCCCUUAGCCAGGUAGAGGGGCGGCCUCGAGAGCCGCUGACCCGGUGAGGGUCGCCUGGGUUCAAAUCCCAGCCCCGGCG
rnacentral:tRNA from 1 species